AGUGAACGCUGGCGGUAGGCCUAACACAUGCAAGUCGAACGGCAGCACAGUAAGAGCUUGCUCUUACGGGUGGCGAGUGGCGGACGGGUGAGGAAUACAUCGGAAUCUACUUUUUCGUGGGGGAUAACGUAGGGAAACUUACGCUAAUACCGCAUACGACCUACGGGUGAAAGCAGGGGAUCUUCGGACCUUGCGCGAUUGAAUGAGCCGAUGUCGGAUUAGCUAGUUGGCGGGGUAAAGGCCCACCAAGGCGACGAUCCGUAGCUGGUCUGAGAGGAUGGUCGGCCACACUGGAACUGAGCCACGGUCCAGACUCCUACGGGAGGGAGCAGUGGGGAAUAUUGGACAAUGGGCGCGAGCCUGAUCCAGCCAUACCGCGUGGGUGAAGAAGGCCUUCGGGUUGUAAAGCCCUUUUGUUGGGAAAGAAAAGCAGCAGGUUAAUACCCCGCUGUUCUGACGGUACCCAAAGAAUAAGCACCGGCUAACUUCGUG
rnacentral:rRNA from 1 species